rnacentral:rRNA from 1 species
CCAGACUCCUACGGGAGGCAGUAGUGGGGAAUAUUGCACAAUGGGCGCAAGCCUGAUGCAGCCAUGCCGCGUGUAUGAAGAAGGCCUUCGGGUUGUAAAGUACUUUCAGUCGGGAGGAAGGUGUCAAGGUUAAUAACCUUGGCAAUUGACGUUACCGACAGAAGAAGCACCGGCUAACUCCGUGCCAGCAGCCGCGGUAAUACGGAGGGUGCAAGCGUUAAUCGGAAUUACUGGGCGUAAAGCGCACGCAGGCGGUCUGUCAAGUCGGAUGUGAAAUCCCCGGGCUCAACCUGGGAACUGCAUUCGAAACUGGCAGGCUGGAGUCUUGUAGAGGGGGGUAGAAUUCCAGGUGUAGCGGUGAAAUGCGUAGAGAUCUGGAGGAAUACCGGUGGCGAAGGCGGCCCCCUGGACAAAGACUGACGCUCAGGUGCGAAAGCGUGGGGAGCAAACAGGAUUAGAUACCCUUGUAU